UCAAACUUGGUCAUUUAGAGGAAGUAAAAGUCGUAACAAGGUAACCGUAGGUGAACCUGCGGUUGGAUCAUUUACAUAAUGAACUGUGUGAUUUGCAGGACGCGCUUUGAGAACAAGGCGUGGUUGGCAAAGAACACAACCCACACCCUUCUUGCACCUUGAACUGAACAACUGCUUGCAGAUUUGCGUAAGGGAAUCCAGAAGAGUAGUCCUUUGGAAUACAAGGCAUUUUUCUUUCUCCCCUGCAAUCUGCAAACAACAACACAACAACUAUAAACAUCAUUUAUCCACAUUUUGUCAUAAUUAUCUUGUCUCUAGCAAUGGAGGCAAGUAAAACACCAAAACAAUUACAACUUUUGACAACGGAUCUCUAGGCUCUCGCAUCGAUGAAGAACGCAGC
rnacentral:misc_RNA from 1 species